AACACGUGGAUAACCUACCUAUAAGACUGGGAUAACUUCGGGAAACCGGAGCUAAUACCGGAUAAUAUUUUGAACCGCAUGGUUCAAAAGUGAAAGACGGUCUUGCUGUCACUUAUAGAUGGAUCCGCGCUGCAUUAGCUAGUUGGUAAGGUAACGGCUUACCAAGGCAACGAUGCAUAGCCGACCUGAGAGGGUGAUCGGCCACACUGGAACUGAGACACGGUCCAGACUCCUACGGGAGGCAGCAGUAGGGAAUCUUCCGCAAUGGGCGAAAGCCUGACGGAGCAACGCCGCGUGAGUGAUGAAGGUCUUCGGAUCGUAAAACUCUGUUAUUAGGGAAGAACAUAUGUGUAAGUAACUGUGCACAUCUUGACGGUACCUAAUCAGAAAGCCACGGCUAACUACGUGCCAGCAGCCGCGGUAAUACGUAGGUGGCAAGCGUUAUCCGGAAUUAUUGGGCGUAAAGCGCGCGUAGGCGGUUUUUUAAGUCUGAUGUGAAAGCCCACGGCUCAACCGUGGAGGGUCAUUGGAAACUGGAAAACUUGAGUGCAGAAGAGGAAAGUGGAAUUCCAUGUGUAGCGGUGAAAUGCGCAGAGAUAUGGAGGAAC
rnacentral:rRNA from 1 species